GCUGUCGCGGAAGUGCUCAAAAUUUGUACGCAAGCUUCGUUCGCAUGUCAAUCAUUGCAAUCGCAUAGCGAUGCGAUAUCGUCAAAAUUAAGCCCCUGUUAGCGCGGAUGUGUAUGAUAUUUUCUCUUUGUGAUUGUCCUCCCGUGCGAUGAAAAAUAUGUCAUCGUAUUGCACAGGACUUUCGCGAGCUACCGAUACCAUUUUCGUGCCCCAAAUUCCAUGAAAUCUUCCGAAAAUAAACAUGAAAGUGUCGAAUACCAGAUGCCAUCAUGAAUAACCUCACCACCAGGUUGAACUCCUAAACAUCUUGAUGAUGACUAUCUCCCGAGAUAUAUCUUGCCUUCUUGAGAUUGGAAGUUUUAAGUUCAAGUCAGAGCGACCUAAGGCCCUACUACCAAGAAGAAUCCAGAUUUACAUUUAAAAAAAUCCCACGAAAGAUACAAACUGAUUUUACUAUUAAUGUGUAGUGUGUGUGUGAGACACUGUUUGUGUUUAUUUUGAUGAGGAUCUCCUGUCUCUUUUUAUUAUUUCAUUGACUGAAUGAAUGAUCAAUACCUAAAAUUUUGGCGGUUCCCCCCUAAAAUUUUUGGCUUCCGCCGCCAAUGCCAGGAAUGAUGAUGUUCAACUGAGAGUCGCUGAAGUGGAACUUGUUGCAGAGAAUGAUUAUUCCAGGACAAGUUAGAUGAUAUUACCCAGCCCAUACAUCACAACAAUGGAAGGGAGACAAUAUACCCCUGUACUACGUGAAGUAUCAUAUUAUCUUCAGGUUGGUUUGGAAAGUAAUAAUAGUCCUCUAGUCAAUAUUAACGUCUGUCCAACAUAAUGGUACUAUCGAGCAAUUUGGGGGUUCAAUCACAAACAGCAAAAGUUUAGUAAAUUGACACUAGUAAGAUAAUUAAACAAAUAUAAUACAGCCAAACUGUCUGACCCCUUACUUGACUACUGACUUAACUACUUAUUAAAAAAUGACAAGUGAUGCUUAGGCCCUUUGUAACCAUUGUAUUGGGCAGACUUUGAAGCAGAUGACUAGAAUUCAUACUUUCAUGAAGAUGAAGGAAGAUCAAAAGAAUUAUUACAAUUUAGCAAAUAUGAAAUUAGAACACUGUCAUGGUUAUAAAAAAUAAUGAAUUUCUAUCCAGUAAAAUGACAAUACAAUGUAAGAAAUAAUUGCAAUCAAGUAAUUUCAUUUGCAAAAGAUAUUUUCCAUAAUUUAAUAACCAAAUUUCUCAAGAUAAUAUUCUUCUGCACAGAAGUGUAUGACACGCUCAGUGUAAAUCAUGCUGUUUAUAAAUCUCUAGGAAACCUUUUUUUUCAAAAUGAAAAUACAUGUAAACUUAAUAAAAACCAGGGGUGGAUCCAGGAUUUAUCCUG